UCUAAGAAGACUGCCUCGGAUAACGGGGAGGAAGGUGGGGAUGACGUCAAGUCCGCAUGCUCCUUACGUCUAGGGCUACACACGUCCUACAAUGGGGUCGACAAUGGGAGUGCAAUAUCGCAAGAUGGAGCCAAUCCCCAAACCGGACCUCUCAGUUCGGAUUGUAGUCUGCAACUCGACUACAUGAAGUUGGAAUCGCUAGUAAUGGCAGAUCAGCAUGCUGCCGUGAAUACGUUCCCGGGUCUU
rnacentral:rRNA from 1 species